GGGGAUGUCAGGUUUCGAUGGACUGUCUCUCUAUAAUAGGCAGACCGAGGCUGGUCAAAUCCUCGAAAAAAUUUGGCCAAAGAAAAGUGCAAACUUAGAGUUUGCUCUUGCUUAAUGCAAGAAGUCUCAUCUUUUGACUUCUCGAUAGGAAGAUGAGGCUUAAUACCAUCGAGAUAGAUAGUCUCUCUUGACUUGAAGAAACUAUCAAAAGAAAAAAGUCUUAGGUUAGGGUUAUUCUGCCUGAUUGAAAACCCGUAAUCGAAUAUUUAAAUCAGGCUAAGUCUGUAGUACUAUUUUAGAGGGAAGACCCAGACGUGGGUUCAAAUCCCACCAUCUCCACUU
rnacentral:tmRNA from 1 species